rnacentral:tmRNA from 4 species
GGGGACGACCGGAUUCGACGGAGAGCGUACUUUAAAAACUGCGAGCCAAGUUUGACUUACACUUGUAAAAAGAAGUUAAAAAAAUAAUUGCUAAACCCAAUUAUAAUUUCGCAUACGCCUAAUAAGUGUUUUUGCGAAUGUUUGCUGUUUUGUUUCUCAACCGAAACAGACAAGCAUAAACCAGUUGGGAUGCGGUAAGUGCCACUGACUUUAGGUAUUUGCCAAAGAGUUAAAGUCAAGCCCCCAAUUACUUUGUUGGUUUGGCGAAUUGGGAGUCAUAAAAAAUCAACUAAGCUUGUAGAAGUUUUUAUCUUACCUUUUCGGACGAGGGUUCAACUCCCUCCGUCUCCACAA